rnacentral:rRNA from 1 species
CCUACGGGAGGCAGCAGUGGGGAAUAUUGGGCAAUGGAGGAAACUCUGACCCAGCAACGCCGCGUGAAUGAUGAAGGUCUUCGGAUUGUAAAGUUCUUUUCUAAGGGAAGAAGAAAGUGACGGUACCUUAGGAAUAAGCCUCGGCUAACUACGUGCCAGCAGCCGCGGUAAUACGUAGGAGGCGAGCGUUAUCCGGAAUGACUGGGCGUAAAGGGUGCGUAGGUGGUUUGGCAAGUUAGUAGCGUAACUCCAAGGCUCAACCUUGGAACUACUACUAAAACUGUUGGGCUUGAGUGCAGGAGGGGCAUAGGGAAUUCCUAGUGUAGCGGUGGAAUGCGUAGAUAUUAGGAAGAACACCAGUGGCGAAGGCGAUAUGCUGGACUGUAACUGACGCUGAGGCACGAAAGCGUGGGGAGCAAACAGGAUUAGAUACCCCGGUAGUC